AAGGCACAUCCCCACUGCUUCAGGACUGAUCCCAAGGGCAGCAAACGCAUAGCAGCUCCUACUCCUUCAGUCUCUUCUCUAUGGCAAAGGAAUGUUUGUGGUUUAAAUCUCAGGAAUAUCUAGAGUCUUAUAUAGUCAGUGUAGACUGAAGGGGUGUUUGAGUUACAUGGAUAAAUCACCCUCUGGAGACCUGCGAAGCUAGGAAUAUGGCUCAGGGUGUUUGGCUAGCUCACCAGUUCUGGAGGGAGUAUGUUUGCUGACAUAAAAAUUGGAAGGAUCUUCAGAAAUGUGUACUCAAAUCACUAAAAAUGUCCAGUUCUCAAGGACACUGAUCAACUCAUUAUUCUUUGUUUUGAUUCACAUGAAAUAUUUUCAGCCUGUGGUUCAUUUCCAAAAAACAAAACCAAAAAAGCUUUAACAGAGCUGAGGCUGGAAUCUAAGUCCAAGUUAAUGAAGCUGCCUCAAAGUUGAGGAGGCAGAGAAUAAACCACAGCUCUGAGGCACAGACCACUGGAGAAUCCUCUUUCAAACCGUGCCUCUGCUGCUCACUGGAGUUAUUUGAUUUGGGAACAAGAUAAGAAUUCACAAUAUCUGAUUUGUAGAAAUAACCUGGAGGAAGGAGAAACAGUCAAAAAUACUAAUUUCAGAUA